rnacentral:rRNA from 1 species
GACGAACGCUGGCGGCGUGCUUAACACAUGCAAGUCGAACGGAAAGGCCCUGCUUUUGUGGGGUGCUCGAGUGGCGAACGGGUGAGUAACAAGUGAGUAACCUGCCCUUGACUUUGGGAUAACUUCAGGAAACUGGGGCUAAUACCGGAUAGGAGCUCCUGCUGCAUGGUGGGGGUUGGAAAGUUUCGGCGGUUGGGGAUGGACUCGCGACUUAUCAGCUUGUUGGUGGGGUAGUGGCUUACCAAGGCUUUGACGGGUAGCCGGCCUGAGAGGGUGACCGGCCACAUUGGGACUGAGAUACGGCCCAGACUCCUACGGGAGGCAGCAGUGGGGAAUAUUGCACAAUGGGCGGAAGCCUGAUGCAGCAACGCCGCGUGCGGGAUGACGGCCUUCGGGUUGUAAACCGCUUUCGCCUGUGACGAAGCGUGAGUGACGGUAAUGGGUAAAGAAGCACCGGCUAACUACGUG